AAAUAUGUAAAUUUCUUAGAACUUAUGUGUAUAUCAAUUUUAUAAUUUUAAUGAUAAUCAAGUUAUUGCGAAUGUCYAAUACUUAAUCUUUACAAGAAAAUAAAAMAUGGCUAGUACAUCCAGUGAUCAAAGUAUUAUUGCUCAGAAAACUUGGGAAAUGUCAAAUGAAGUUGAAACAAUCAGUGCUAGUGAUGAAGUUUAMAAAUUUGAUAAACAACGAAACCAAGAGAUAUUGUGUAUUAAGCCAUGGGAAAAAAGGACAGGAACAAGGGUUAAUGCGAAAGCUCAAACAUAUGAAUAYAUGGAUUCUAUAAAACAGGUAAAAUGGAAAAAAAGAUCAUUUUGUUUCUUGCAYAAUGUCAUAGUAUUUURUUUAAUGUAAUAAAAUAUCCAUUUAGGUUGRCAGAUUAGAGAACGUUAUUGGCUGGUAUCAUAGUCAUCCAGGUUAUGKAUGUUGGUUAUUUGGUAUUGAUGUGGCUACACAACUUAUGAAUCAGAAUUAUCAAGAUCCAUUUGUCGCUAUUGUAAUUGAUCCUGUGCAAACUAUUUCUGCGGSUAAAGUUUGCUUAGGAGCAUUUAGAACUUAUCCAAAAGUGCGUAUCAAAAGUUAUAUAGAAUUAUGAUUCUAAUACAUCUUAUACAGUUGCAUGCAAAAUUAUCCGACCAAACAUACUUUAAUCAUUUAGUAUGUUUUACAAAAUGCARAAUGAAAACUCAAAUAUAUCAUUGUAAAGCGUUUUUAUUAUGCCAUCGAAAUAUGUCAUUUAAAUAUUGUUUAUAACUAUUAACAAUUAUUUGUUASAAAUAUGACAGUUUCUGGUUUUUCAUAAAUAUCCGGUCAUGUUCUAUAAAGGUAUUAUUAAUSAAGGUAGAAUGUAAUUUACUUAGCUAUGUUCACGUUAUCAGUCGCAAAUCUAUGUAAACAUUGAGUUCGUAGUCUUUUCUAUAUUGUACGAUCAGUAACACUUUGUCAAAAUGCCGAAACGCACGUCUCUUUAAACAUUCGUAAAUUAAUGAUUAAAUUACACGAUGAAGGAAAAGUCUUCCGUGAAAUAUCAACAAUUUUGGCUAUCGGAAAUUCG